rnacentral:rRNA from 1 species
GACGAACGCUGGCGGCGUGCCUAAUACAUGCAAGUAGAACGCAGUUGCGAACGGGUGAGUGACGCGUAGGUAACUGCCUGGUAGCGGGGGAAAACUAUUGGAAACGAUAUCUAAUACCGCAUACUAUGAGAGGGACCUGCGUGGUAUUAGCUAGUUGGUGGGGUAAAGGCCCACCAAGGCAACGUUACAUAGCCGGCCUGAGAGGGUGAUCGGCCACCCUGGGACUGAGACACGGCCCAGACUCCUACGGGAGGCAGCAGGAGGGAAUCUUCGGCAAUGGACGGAAGUCUGACCGAGCAACGCCGCGUGAGUGAAGAAGGUUUUCGGAUCGUAAAGCUCUGUUGUAAGAGAAGCGGUAUCUAACCAGAAAGGGACGGCUAACUACGUGCCAGCAGCCGCGGUAAUAC